GUGAGGAAUAUUGGUCAAUGGACGAGAGUCUGAACCAGCCAAGUCGCGUGAAGGAAGACGGUUCUAUGAAUUGUAAACUUCUUUUGUGCAGGAAUAAAGUGGGUUACGUGUAACCUUUUGUAUGUACUGUACGAAUAAGGAUCGGCUAACUCCGUGCCAGCAGCCGCGGUAAUACGGAGGAUCCGAGCGUUAUCCGGAUUUAUUGGGGUUAAAGGGUGCGUAGGUGGAUUGAUAAGUCAGCGGUGAAAGUUUGCAGCUUAACUGUAAAAUUGCCGUUGAAACUGUCGGUCUUGAGUGCAAAUGAGGUAGGCGGAAUGUGUUGUGUAGCGGUGAAAUGCUUAGAUAUAACACAGAACUCCGAUUGCGAAGGCAGCUUACUGGGAUGCAACUGACACUGAUGCACGAAAGCGUGGGUAUCAAACAGGAUUAGAUACCCGGGUAGUCC
rnacentral:rRNA from 1 species